rnacentral:rRNA from 1 species
UACGUAGGCAGCGAGCGUUGUUCGGAGUUACUGGGCGUAAAGCGUGCGUAGGCGGUUUUGCAAGUUUGGUGUGAAAUCUCCCGGCUCAACUGGGAGGGUGCGCCGAAAACUGCAAGGCUGGAGUGUGGGAGAGGUAGGCGGAAUUCCUGGUGUAGCGGUGAAAUGCGUAGAUAUCAGGAGGAACACCGGUGGCGAAGGCGGGUCUCUGGGCAGUAACUGACGCUGAGGAGCGAAAGCGUGGGGAGCGAACAGG